GUUUAAUAUAUAAUACAGGCCUCUCAAAACCAAGGUUAGGUGUUUCCAUCGUACCUUUUGACCUUUUGAUGGGUAUAAUUAUAUACAAAUGAAUAAAUGAUAAUAAUAGUUGAUGUUUAUUGAAUACUUAUUCUCUAUCAGGCUCUGUUUUAAGUUUAGUCAUUUAAUUAUAACAGCUUAGAAUGUAAAUAUAGUCAUUAUUCUUUCUCUUCUAGAUGAGGAAAUUAAGGUACCAAAAGAUUACAAACAAACUUGCCCGGAGUAAUUAGUAAGUGUAGAGCCAGCAUUCAUACCCAGGCAGCCUGGCUCCAGAGUUUAUUUGUAUUUCCUAUCUAAAAAUGUGAUUGUAAUUUUUAUGAUAUAUUUUCAAUUUAUGAACCAUUCUCAAAAAGCAUAGACUUUGUUGUAUCUAUUGGCUGGCUCAUAUUUUUGAAACAUGUUUAAUUUUUUUUUAAGACCAAACUGGAAAUCCAGAAGGCCCUUGCAGAAGAUGCUACUGUGUAUGAAUAUGACAGUAUUUAUGAUGAAAUGCAGAAAAAAAAGGAGGAAAAUAAUCCCAAAUUGCUUUUGGGGAAAGACAGAAAGCCCAAGUAUAUUCACAACUUGCUAAAAGCAGUUGAG
rnacentral:lncRNA from 10 species